rnacentral:rRNA from 1 species
AUGGUGUCAGACAGAGAUCGAGUUUUCACCAGCAAUCUAUGGAAGGAGUUGUUUAGGCAAGUAGGAACAGAGCUGCGCAUGUCCUCAGCUUAUCACCCCCAGACGGACGGCACCACUGAAAGGGUAAACCAGUGCAUGGAGACAUUUCUCCGAUGUUUCGUUCACUCUUGCCCGCACCGUUGGUUUCAGUGGUUGCAUUUGGCGGAGUUCUAGUACAAUACGGCACCGCACUCUGCAUUGCAAGCUUCCCCUUUUGAGGUACUCUACGGUCACCCUCCGCGCCAUUUUGGCAUUGUAAAUGCUUCUAUGCUGGCCCCCACAGAUCUGGCAAGUUGGCAACAAGAGAGGGAAGUCAUGACAGCCUUACUUCGCCAGCAUCUGGAAAGAUACCGACAACGGAUGAAGGACCAGGCUGACAAGAAAAGAUCAGAGAGAUCCUUUUCAGUGGGCGAUUGGGUGUACGUAAAGUUGCAGCCAUAUGUUCAGGUCUCUGUCGCGCCACGGGCUAACCACAAAUUAUCCUUCAAGUUUUUUGGCCCGUUUCAGGUGACAGCUCGGAUUGGGAACGUGCCGCAUCGCCUGCAGUUGCCAGAAGGGAGCCGCGUCCACCCGGUGUUCCACGUGUCUCUGCUCAGGGGGGCGCUGCCUCCAGGCACCGAGACGGUGUCUGCCUUACCAGAGUCAGCGUUGCCUCAUUCUCCGCCAGACUUUCCGGAGAAGGUGCUGGACAGGCGUCUGAUUACCAAGGGCAACUCGAAGAUCCCCCAAGUGUUGAUCAAAUGGUCGUCUCAGCCGGAAGCGCUGGCAUCAUGGGAGGAUUUCUUCGAGCUCAGAAGCCGUUUCCGAGGUGCUGCGGCUCGGGGACAAGCCGCGUCUAAAGAAAGGGGGGAUGUCACGGGCCCUACUACGUCAGCAGUCCCUCUAGAGCCCACCAGCGCCACCGGACGGCCCAAGAGGAGCAAGCGGCCCAACAGGCUCUACGACCCGUCGACUUGGGAGAUGUAG